UGCCAUUCCUCGUCUGAAAACAAAUCAAUUGAAGUGGAGCUUCACAGGCACAUUUGAAGCAAGACAAUCACUCAUAGUUAGAGGCCUCUUUCCCAUGCUUGCUGAUCCACGUCACCCGGCUGAAUCUACUAGCACUACAAAUGAAUCAGUGUUGAAGGCUACUCUUACCUUAGCCAGAAUUUCUAUAAGAAUGUUGCUCAUGUUACAUGCCUUCCUUUCUCUAGUAAGUAGAACAAGAAU